CAGCGGGGGAGAAGCUUGCUUCUCCUGCCGGCGAGUGGCGAACGGGUGAGUAAUACAUCGGAACGUGCCCUGUAGUGGGGGAUAACUAGUCGAAAGAUUAGCUAAUACCGCAUACGACCUGAGGGUGAAAGUGGGGGACCGCAAGGCCUCAUGCUAUAGGAGCGGCCGAUGUCUGAUUAGCUAGUUGGUGGGGUAAAGGCCCACCAAGGCGACGAUCAGUAGCUGGUCUGAGAGGACGAUCAGCCACACUGGGACUGAGACACGGCCCAGACUCCUACGGGAGGCAGCAGUGGGGAAUUUUGGACAAUGGGCGAAAGCCUGAUCCAGCAAUGCCGCGUGUGUGAAGAAGGCCUUCGGGUUGUAAAGCACUUUUGUCCGGAAAGAAAUGGCUCUGGUUAAUACCUGGGGUCGAUGACGGUACCGGAAGAAUAAGGACCGGCUAACUACGUGCCAGCAGCCGCGGUAAUACGUAGGGUCCAAGCGUUAAUCGGAAUUACUGUGCGUAAAGCGUGCGCAGGCGGUUGUGCAAGACCGAUGUGAAAUCCCCGAGCUUAACUUGGGAAUUGCAUUGGUGACUGCACAGCUAGAGUGUGUCAGAGGGGGGGUACAAUUCCACGUGUAGCAGUGAAAUGCGUAGAGAUGUGGAAGAAAUACCGAUGGCGAUGGCAGCCCCCUGGGAUAACGCUGACGCUCAUGCACGA
rnacentral:rRNA from 1 species